rnacentral:lncRNA from 1 species
CAUUUAUUGCUGCUGAAAAUAGGUCACGGUCGGAGAUGUUGGAGCGAUGGCGCAUCUUUUCAAAAAGAAAAUCUGCAAGCAAAUCCUAACCCGAAUUAACUAUGAUAGGAACCCUCCGACACUCAAGUCAGAUAACAGAAGAAACAAGUGAGGAAAAGUAUAGAGAUUAUUUCGCACGUACCUUAGGGGAUCUCCUGGAGGUCCUUUUGUAGAGUA